rnacentral:rRNA from 1 species
AGAUACCCUGGUAGUCCAUGCCGUAAACGUUGGCACUAGGUGUGGGGACCAUUCCACGGUUUCCGCGCCGCAGCUAACGCAUUAAGUGCCCCGCCUGGGGAGUACGGCCGCAAGGCUAAAACUCAAAGGAAUUGACGGGGGCCCGCACAAGCGGCGGAGCAUGCGGAUUAAUUCGAUGCAACGCGAAGAACCUUACCAAGGCUUGACAUGUUCUCGAUCGCCGUAGAGAUACGGUUUCCCCUUUGGGGCGGGUUCACAGGUGGUGCAUGGUUGUCGUCAGCUCGUGUCGUGAGAUGUUGGGUUAAGUCCCGCAACGAGCGCAACCCUCGUUCCAUGUUGCCAGCACGUACAUGGUGGGGACUCAUGGGAGACUGCCGGGGUCAACUCGGAGGAAGGUGAGGACGACGUCAAAUCAUCAUGCCCCUUAUGUCUUGGGCUUCACGCAUGCUACAAUGGCCGGUACAAUGGGUUGCGAUACUGUGAGGUGGAGCUAAUCCCAAAAAGCCGGUCUCAGUUCGGAUUGGGGUCUGCAACUCGACCCCAUGAAGUCGGAGUCGCUAGUAAUCGCAGAUCAGCAACGCUGCGGUGAAUACGUUCCCGGGCCUUGUACACACCGCCCGUCAAGUCACGAAAGUUGGUAACACCCGAAGCCGGUGGCCUAACUCCUUCGCGAAUUCGUCGACAACAGAGUUUGAUCC